rnacentral:piRNA from 1 species
GAAUGCAUUGUGACUCGACUGGAGU